CCUCCUCCUUCACCGGCCAAACCCACCUUCCCAUCUUGGGUAAAAUGGGUUCUUGGAUCGAUCUUUACAGUCUUUCUACCAUUUUUGAAGAAAAAAUGGGAUAGAUUGAAGACCAUAGAAGGUGCGGUGGAAGUGGCGGCAGAGAAGGUAGAAGAGGUAGCAGAGGUUGUAGAGAAGCUGGCGGACGAGGCUGAGAAGGUAUCGGAAGCGGUGGCUAAUAGCAUUCCGGAGGAUGGGCCGCUUAAGGAAGCUGCCCAGUUUGCUGAACUUGUCACCAAAGAAGUUGCCAAGGAAGCCCAUGUAACCGAGGAAAUCAUCCACACGGUGGAGGUAUUGAAAGAAGAGGUGGAGUCACUACUUGAUCCUCUUGGAACUAAGGGGAAGGAUGCACAAGGACA